rnacentral:rRNA from 1 species
UACGGAAGGCAGCAGUGGGGAAUAUUGCACAAUGGGCGCAAGCCUGAUGCAGCCAUGCCGCGUGUAUGAAGAAGGCCUUCGGGUUGUAAAGUACUUUCAGUCGUGAGGAAGGUGUUAAGGUUAAUAACCUUAGCAAUUGACGUUAGCGACAGAAGAAGCACCGGCUAACUCCGUGCCAGCAGCCGCGGUAAUACGGAGGGUGCGAGCGUUAAUCGGAAUUACUGGGCGUAAAGGGCACGCAGGCGGUUAAUUAAGUUGGAUGUGAAAUCCCCGGGCUUAACCUGGGAAUGGCAUUCAAGACUGGUUAGCUAGAGUCUUGUAGAGGGGGUAGAAUUCCAUGUGUAGCGGUGAAAUGCGUAGAGAUGUGGAGGAAUACCGGUGGCGAAGGCGGCCCCUGGGACAAGACUGACGCUCAUGUGCGAAAGCGUGGGGAGCAAACAGGAUUUAGAUACC